UUGAGAGUUAAUUGGGCUUACUUAGGAAACAAGCAAGCCCAAAGGCAUAGAACCCCACACCUUUGAAUUGCGAGUGGACACAUGUCCCCCAAAUGGCACGUGUGCCCGCACCUAGGUCAUGCGGUUGCACAUUGCUUUUGUGGCCGCACUUCCCUAGUGAGCUCGCACAUCCUUCCGAUACCCCAGAAUUUGAUUUUAGUCAGGAUUGUUGGCAUGUUUUGGAUGGGAGAUGCAAGGAGAAUGUGAUGGGGCAAUCCUAGAAGCUCCUUGCUUGGCCCCUAAGCUCUUCUUUGCCUAUAAAUAGCCACUCCUCUACCCCUUCUUUGAGGGACCAAGUUUUAACUAAGUUUGUGAGUGAACCUUAACCACCCACCCUCAAAUCUGAGAUACACAAACCCUAACAGCAGCUCCACCAACCUAAAAGUAGAUCUAGGGUUUGAAUAAAGUGAAUUAAAUUGAAGCCAAACCUAAGGGAAGCCUUCAAUCAAGGAAAUAUCAUCUUUUUCUCACCUUUUUGGUUGUGCCCUUUGGUUUGUUUCAAACAAGCAAACAAGAUCAUUGCCAAAUUUUGAAGACCCAAAGACCACCAUUUGAAGAAUUCAAGACCCUUUGUUCCAACAGUUCUCUCUCAGUAGCCCUAAGGAGCCAUGGAUGCAGCCAGCAAUGAAGAGUUCCUGGAGUUUACAGAUCUAUAGAGAGAUUGAUGCUUCUAAUCUCAAUGGUAUCCAAUCGCUCUUGAUUUGGAGUUGUUGAGUUCACUCGAGAUACAGAGUUUUCAUGAGUUGAAGAUGGACCUGACUAGGACCUGAAUAGAACAAAAAAACAUCUAUUGAAGAAGACGGGGUUUCAUUUGCCAUGUCGAACAUCCUCAUAAAUUUAUAUCAAACUACCUUGCAGCCCUUGAGACAUCCCCAGAACUGAGACAAGAAGCUUGGAACCUUGCAAAUG